UAGGGAAUCUUCGGCAAUGGGGGGAACCCUGACCGAGCAACGCCGCGUGAGUGAAGAAGGUUUUCGGAUCGUAAAGCUCUGUUGUUAAGGAAGAACGAGUGUGAGAAUGGAAAGUUCAUACUGUGACGGUACUUAACCAGAAAGGGACGGCUAACUACGUGCCAGCAGCCGCGGUAAUACGUAGGUCCCGAGCGUUGUCCGGAUUUAUUGGGCGUAAAGCGAGCGCAGGCGGUCAAUUAAGUCUGAUGUGAAAGCCCCCGGCUCAACCGGGGAGGGUCAUUGGAAACUGGUUGACUUGAGUGCAGAAGAGGAGAGUGGAAUUCCAUGUGUAGCGGUGAAAUGCGUAGAUAUAUGGAGGAACACCAGUGGCGAAGGCGACUCUCUGGUCUGUAAAUGACGCUGAGGUUCGAAAGCGUGGGUAGCAAACAGG
rnacentral:rRNA from 1 species